rnacentral:rRNA from 1 species
GGGGGGGGCUACACAUGCAGUCGACGGUAACAGGAAGCAGCUUGCUGCUUCGCUGACGAGUGGCGGACGGGUGAGUAAUGUCUGGGAAACUGCCUGAUGGAGGGGGAUAACUACUGGAAACGGUAGCUAAUACCGCAUAACGUCGCAAGACCAAAGAGGGGGACCUUCGGGCCUCUUGCCAUCGGAUGUGCCCAGAUGGGAUUAGCUAGUAGGUGGGGUAACGGCUCACCUAGGCGACGAUCCCUAGCUGGUCUGAGAGGAUGACCAGCCACACUGGAACUGAGACACGGUCCAGACUCCUACGGGAGGCAGCAGUGGGGAAUAUUGCACAAUGGGCGCAAGCCUGAUGCAGCCAUGCCGCGUGUAUGAAGAAGGCCUUCGGGUUGUAAAGUACUUUCAGCGGGGAGGAAGGUGUUGUGGUUAAUAACCACAGCAAUUGACGUUACCCGCAGAAGAAGCACCGGCUAACUCCGUGCCAGCAGCCGCGGUAAUACGGAGGGUGCAAGCGUUAAUCGGAAUUACUGGGCGUAAAGCGCACGCAGGCGGUCUGUCAAGUCGGAUGUGAAAUCCCCGGGCUCAACCUGGGAACUGCAUUCGAAACUGGCAGGCUAGAGUCUUGUAGAGGGGGGUAGAAUUCCAGGUGUAGCGGUGAAAUGCGUAGAGAUCUGGAGGAAUACCGGUGGCGAACGCGGCCCCCUGGACAAAGACUGACGCUCAGGUGCGAAAGCGUGGGGAGCAACAGGAU